rnacentral:piRNA from 1 species
UUACACAACGUAAUCCUGACUUUGCUGAAA